GGGUUCUGCGGGCUAAUCCCUGCCCCACCCUUUCAGCGGAGCAGCGAGUGCUGUCCUUCAGGCGGCUAAUCCCGUUGGCACAGCCUAGCUUGCUUUAAUCCUCCCACAUCGCCCAGCGCUCCGCAGCCUACACACUCUCACCGCUUCUGGGAUGACGGGCCACUGUUAAGACCCUCAGGAUGUUCAGCUGGGUGGUGAAAGGGGUUCCCCAGCCUCCUGGGAAACUAGGAGAUGAGGAGAAGACCAACGCCCCACUUGCACCAGUAAAACAAGUAACAUUCAAAGAAGAGAAGAAACAAGAAGCUCCAAAACCUGCCAAGGCCAAAGAGGAGGAGGUCGCCGAAGAGAAUGGUGGUGAGGCUGGAGUGUUGACUUGGAUCACCCAUGGCUUUGCUAAUUCUCUUCCCCAGCCUGCUGGGACACCCCGGCUAGGCAGAGCCAACACUGAGCCCUCCACCAAACAGGAGGAGAACAGGCAGGGGUCGAGAGUCAUCGGCUGGAUUGCCCAGGGAUUGGCCAGUGUGGUUCCCCAGCCUGAAUUAAAAAACAUGGAGGAGGUGGAGCCUGCAGAGACAACAGAGGUACAGAUGGAAUGGUCUGACAGGUGCCCUGAAGGGUCCACAGAUUUUAUUUGAGUAAUAGCCUGUAGCAGUGUUGUCUGAACUUUCAUCUAAGUCAGUUAAAUUGGUUAGUUAAUUGGUUGUAGUUAAGUGUUGUAGCUAUAGAACAGCCCCUACCUAAAAUCACACUGUACACUAAAAAUGUUAAAGUAAAGAGGACUUAGGCAGCCCCUCAAGCGUUUGUUAACUUCAAUCAGCAAGCUGUAAUAAAUAAAAACAUUCUCAGUUAGAGAGGACCAAAAUGUAUUAUUUAUGGUUAAAGUGUAGCAUUAGCUUUCUUUGACUCAUCUCUGUCCUGUACUUGGAACCAGGAUAGACAUUUUUAACAGCAUUUCCAUACAGAUUGCAGAGGUGAUCAAGGUGCCGGAGGUUAAGAAAAAACCUACCGUAAGUAGCUAUAUCAAGGGCCUUGAUAAUAUGCUAACCAAAACUACUCAUGGCUUAUGCUAACGUGUAGCAUUAGCUUUCUCAAACUCUCAAUUCUGUACUUGGAGCCAGGCUAGCCAUGUUUAACAGCAUUUUCAUUCAGAUUGCAGAGGUGAGCAAGGCGCCGGAGGUUAAGAAAAAACCUAGCGUAAGUAGCUACAUCAAGGGCCUUGCUAAUAUGCUAACCAAAAUUUCUCAUGGCUUAUGCUAACGUGUAGCAUUAGCUAACUCAAACUCUCAGUUCUGUACUUGGAGCCAGGCUAGCCAUGUUUAACAGUAUUUCCAUUCAGAUUGCAGAGGCGAGCAAUGCACCGGAGGUUAAGAAAACACCUAGCGUAAGUAGCAACGUCAAGGGCCUUGCUAAUAUGCUAACUAAAAUGACUCAUGGCUUACGCUAACGUGUAGCAUUAGCUUUCUCAAACUCUCAUUUAUGUACUUGGAGCCAAGCUAGCCAUGUUUUACAACAUUUCCAUUCAGAUUGCAGAAGCCAGAAAGGUGCCGGAAGUUAAGAAAACACCUAGCGUAAGUAGCUAAAUCAAGGGCCUUGCUAAUAUGCUAACUAAACUUACUCAUGGCUUAUGCUAACGUGUAGCAUUUGCUUUCUCAGACUCUCAGUUCUGUACUUGGAGCUAAGCUAGUCAUGUUUAAUAGAAUUUCCAUUCAGAUUCCAGAAGUGACCAAGCGUAAGUAGCUAGCUAUAAUAUGGACAUUGCUAUGCUAUGCUAACUUAAACCCAAUGCUAACGGACCUGCUGCAGCUGUGUUCAAACUUGGUUCUAGAGAUCCAUUCGCCACAAUGUCCCAUUGCUACCCCUCUCCCACCCCAGCUGUGCCUUGAGGCUGAGAGGGCCGGUUCUUGCUGGCAACACUGAUUCACUGAUAUACAUGUCAUCUGCUCAAGCAGGUUCUGCGAGGUGGUGAUUCCUGUGGUUUAGCUGUUUGAUGAUCGACGGAGAUAGAUAACUCUCGACCUGGAGAGAAAAGGGUUUUCCACAAUCCCUGAUUGGAGAAUCAAAUUUAUAUGAGUCAGCUAUCAAAACCGAAUGAUAUUAUCCAAUCACAUAACAUCUCCAUUUGAAUGUCACGUCACUUCAGUGGCAGCCUUUGGAAGAAGUUGACAGCAGUCAGUCCAUGCAUGCAUCACUGUGUGAUAAUGAAUACAGCGGGUGUUUCACAAUAUGCAUACUACCAUGCUCCACACACUCUCAUACUCCGAGUGCAUUCUCCGAGGACGUUCUCUUGAGUACGUUAUUGUGAGGACGAGAGUAUGGAGAACAAAUAAAACAUUACAUUUGAAAAGCACUCGCACUCCCCCUACUGUAUUACCUCACACUGGACCUCCCCAUUCAUUGAACCUUCUUCUAGCCAAGGAUAAUGGCAACAAUAGAGACGAAACAAGAUAUACAAAAAGCAAAUGUUAUGCAAGGUAGAUGUCAAAUCUUUGUGGCUAUCUAGCUAGCGAACAGUAGUAGCUAGCCAGUUGACGUUAGCCCUAUUGACUUACUAUGGGCUUGCAAUCUACAUACACUACAGUGGGUAUUGUAGGCAGGUAAUGCCAAAAUUAACACAGUAUGUACUUAUUAAUGUAUCAAGAUCAAAUAUUGUAGUAAGGCAACAUAUGAGAUGUGAAUGGGCAACAUUUCAUUCUAAAGUCUGGGUUUAUUUGCUCUCGCUUCAGCUCAAAUGAUGGACACCAUUGAUUUCAAGAAGUUUUGUGUAGUUUUUUACAUGGUUCCGUCAUAUUUAUACGCGUACUUUCCGUUGAAGCUUGCAUCGGUGCGUCCUUCACAAUAUGUACAAACGGAGUACGCGUCCGAGAAGUGCCCUCCUUGCUCCAUUUCGCUUACCUUUGAUUUGGACUCAUACUCUGACCCUCCCAUGCUCCAAUUUGCGGAGCACGGUAGUAUGCAUUUUGAGAAACACCCAGGAUAUUUCUAACCCUGUAGCCGUUCAGGUCGAGAGUUGUUUAUAUGUGCAGGUUCCUGCUGUGGCUUGUACAGUAUGUGAGAAGGCCUUUUAAGACAUGAAGAGCAUCCCCUGUCUAAGAGAAAAUUGCAAUUUUAUGACGAAAUGCACAAACCUACAGUGCCUUCAGAAAGUACACACACUCCUUGACUUUUUCCACAUUUUGUUGUGUUACAGCCUGAAUUUUAAAUAGAUUUGGUGUCACUGGACUACACACAAUACCCCAUAAUGUCAAAGUGGAAUUAUGUUUUUAGAAAUAUUUACAAAUUAAUACAAAAUUAAAAGCUGAAAUGUCUUGAGUCAAUACGUAUUCAUCCCCUUUGUUAUGGCAUGUGGCAUAAGUUCAGGAGUAAACAUUUGCUGAACAACUCACAUAAUAAGUUGCAUGGGCUCACUCUGUGUGCAAUAAUAGUGUUUAACAUGAUAUUUGAAUGACUACCUUAUCUCUGUACCCCACACAUACAAUUAUCUGCAAGGUCCCUCAGUCAGGCAGUGAAUUUCAAACACAGAUUCAACCACAAAGACCAGGGAGGUUUUCCAAUGCUUAGCAAAGAAGGGGACCUAUUGGUAGAUGGGUAAAAAUAGAAAAGACAUUGAAUAUUCCUUUGAGCAUGGUGAAGUUAUUCAUUACACUUUGGAUGGUGUAUCAAUGCACCCAGUCACUAAAAAGAUACAGGCGUCCUUCCUAACUCAGUUGCCGGAGAGGAAGUAAACCGCUCAGCAAUUUCACCAUGAGUCCAAUGAUGACUUAAAAAAAGGUUUAAUGGCUGUGAUAGGAGAAAACUGAGGAUACAUCAACAACAUUGUAGUUACUCCAUAAUACUAACCUAAAUGACAGAGUGAAAAGAAGGAAGCCUGUACAGAAUAAAAAUAUUCCAAAACAUGCAAUAAGGCACUAAAGUAAAAAAAAAAAAUGUGGCAAAGAAAUUAACUUUAUUUCCUGAAUACAAAGCAUUAUGUUUGGACCAAAUCCAACACAACACAUUACUGAGAACCACUCUUCAUAUUUUCAAGCAUGGUGGUGGCUGCAUUAUGUUAUGGGUAUGCUUGUUAUCGGCGAGGACUAGGGAGUUUUUUGGGAUAAAAAGACACAGAUUAGAGCUAAGCACAUGUAACAGUGUAGGUUCCGUCCCUAUCUUCACCCCAACGCGGGCUCGAACCAGGGACCCUUGCAGACAUCAACAACUGACACCCCACGAAGCAUCGUUACCCAUCGCGCCACAAAAGCCGCGGCCCUUGCAACGCAAGGGGAAACCCUACUUCAAGUCUCAGAGCGAGUGACGUCACCGAUUGAAACGCUAUUAGCGCACACCACCGCUAACUAACUAGCCAUUUCACAUCGGUUACAUACAGGCAAAAUCCUAGAGGAAAACCAUGUUCAGUCUGCUUUCCAACAGACACUGGGAGACAAAUUCACCUUUCAGCAGGACAAUAAACAAAACACAAGGCCAAAUAUACGCUAGAGCUGCUUACCAAGACAACAUUGAAUGUUCUUGAGUGGGCCUAGUUAGUUUUUACUUAAAUCUGCAUGAGAAUCUAUGGCAAGAAAAUGGCUGUCUAGCAAUGAUCAACAACCAACUUGACAGAGCUUGAAUAAUUGUUUUUAUAAUAAUUUGCAAAUAUUGAAUAAUCCAGGUGUGCAAAGCUCUCAGAGACCCAAAAAGACUCACAGUUGUAAUCGCUGCCAAAAGUGAUUCUAACAUGUAUUAACUUUCUGUAAUAUUUUCAUGUCUAAAAACAUGUUUUCACUUUGUUAUUAUGUGGUAUUGUUUGUAGAUGGGUAAAAAAAAAGAUAUAUUUAAUAAAUGUAUUGUUCAGGCUGUAACACAACAAAAUGUGGAAUAAGUCAAGGGUUAUGAAGACUUUCUGAAUGUACACAAACUACUUACGACUCAUUACAAUCUGUUAUUGUUGAA
rnacentral:lncRNA from 8 species